rnacentral:rRNA from 1 species
GACGAACGCUGGCGGCGUGCCUAAUACAUGCAAGUCGAGCGAUGAAGCUUGGUGCUUGCCCCAAUUUGGAGAGCAGCGCACGGGUGAGUAACGCGUGGGGAAUCUGCCUUUGAGCGGGGGACAACAUUUGGAAACGAAUGCUAAUACCGCAUAACAUCUUUAAACAUAAGUUUUAAGUUUGAAAGAUGCAAUUGCAUCACUCAAAGAUGAUCUCGCGUUGUAUUAGCUAGUUGGUGAGGUAAAGGCUCACCAAGGCGGUGAUACAGAGCCGACCUGAGAGGGUGAGCGGCCACAUUGGGACGGAGACACGGCCCAAACGCCUACGGGAGGCAGCAGUAGGGAAUCUUCGGCAAGGGACGAAAGUCUGACCGAGCAACGCCGCGUGAGUGAAGAAGGGUGUCGGAUCGUAAAACUCUGUUGGUAGAGAAGAACGUUGGUGAGAGUGGAAAGCUCAUCAAGUGACGGUAACUACCCAGAAAGGGACGGCUAACUACGUG